rnacentral:rRNA from 1 species
UACGUAGGGGGCAAGCGUUGUCCGGAUUUAUUGGGCGUAAAGAGCGUGUAGGCGGCCAGGUAGGUCUGCUGUGAAAACUCGAGGCUUAACCUCGAGCUGUCGGCGGAAACCAUCUGGCUAGAGUCCGGAAGAGGAGAAUGGAAUUCCCGGUGUAGCGGUGAAAUGCGCAGAUAUCAGGAAGAACACCCGUGGCUAAGGCGGUUCUCUAGUACGGUACUGACGCUGAGACGCGAAAGCGUGGGGAGCGAACAGG